rnacentral:rRNA from 1 species
AGUGAACGCUGGCGGUAGGCCUAACACAUGCAAGUCGAACGGCAGCACAGUAAGAGCUUGCUCUUACGGGUGGCGAGUGGCGGACGGGUGAGGAAUACAUCGGAAUCUACUUUUUCGUGGGGGAUAACGUAGGGAAACUUACGCUAAUACCGCAUACGACCUACGGGUGAAAGCAGGGGAUCUUCGGACCUUUCGCGAUUGAAUGAGCCGAUGUCGGAUUAGCUAGUUGGCGGGGUAAAGGCCCACCAAGGCGACGAUCCGUAGCUGGUCUGAGAGGAUGAUCAGCCACACUGGAACUGAGACACGGUCCAGACUCCUACGGGAGGCAGCAGUGGGGAAUAUUGGACAAUGGGCACAAGCCUGAUCCAGCCAUACCGCGUGGGUGAAGAAGGCCUUCGGGUUGUAAAGCCCUUUUGUUGGGAAAGAAAAGCAGCAGGUUAAUACCCCGCUGUUCUGACGGUACCCAAAGAAUAAGCACCGGCUAACUUCGUG